AACCAUGAUGUAAAUAUCUGUGUUUUCCGAUGGUCUUAGGCGACCCCUGUGAAAGGGAUGUUUGACCCCCAAAGGGGUCUCGACCCACAUGUUGAGAACCAACCGCUGCAAUAAACACUUUUUU